rnacentral:lncRNA from 1 species
GAAAAUCUAUAUAAGAAGAAGCUCAUUCAGGAAACAAUUCCCUUAAACAACAACAACAAUAUUUGCUUCCGUCGCAAUUUCAAGCCGCUCUCCCUACUUUUGAAGACUCUCAGUGGUUGAUUCAAUUCCAUCCAUCUAAGCUCUCGGCGUUUUCUGUCGACAAAUUUGCAUUGGUUAUUGUUCGUGCUGGGUACGGAUUGAAACCCUAGUGCCGGCUGAAGCCUGUUGAAGAAUCGUGAGUUCGUCAAGAGAAUUAGCUGAUACGAUUCUAUUUGGUGUUAUUUUGGUACAAAUCUGUAUCGACUCUGUUUGUAUUUCAAUAUUUUGAACACAGGGCUCUUUCUUGUUAUUGUAUUCUUGACAACAGGGCUCUUUGUUAUUAUUGUUCUUGAUUUCUUUUUUCUAGGA